AAAUUGAAGAGUUUGAUCAUGGCUCAGAUUGAACGCUGGCGGCAGGCCUAACACAUGCAAGUCGAACGGUAACAGGAAGCAGCUUGCUGCUUUGCUGACGAGUGGCGGACGGGUGAGUAAUGUCUGGGAAACUGCCUGAUGGAGGGGGAUAACUACUGGAAACGGUGGCUAAUACCGCAUAACGUCGCAAGACCAAAGAGGGGGACCUUCGGGCCUCUUGCCAUCAGAUGUGCCCAGAUGGGAUUAGCUAGUUGGUGAGGUAACGGCUCACCAAGGCGACGAUCCCUAGCUGGUCUGAGAGGAUGACCAGCCACACUGGAACUGAGACACGGUCCAGACUCCUACGGGAGGCAGCAGUGGGGAAUAUUGCACAAUGGGCGCAAGCCUGAUGCAGCCAUGCCGCGUGUAUGAAGAAGGCCUUCGGGUUGUAAAGUACUUUCAGCGGGGAGGAAGGUGUUGCGGUUAAUAACCGCAGCAAUUGACGUUACCCGCAG
rnacentral:rRNA from 1 species